AUUAAUCCAAUUUCUUUGUGUUAUGAAGUUUGUUUAUGUUGUAGUAAGUAGAGAUGUGUAGAAUCCAUGGAAAUAUGGAAGUUAUAUGGUUGGAUUUGGACAUAUGAAUAAGUUAUGUGUAUGUAAGAUUGUUGGCAAGAAGACUUGAAUUUUUGUGUAGUAUUUUUGGUGUAGUAUUUGAAUAGUAGUAUGAUAAAUAUUUGAUGUUGAAAAUGGAAGUUGGAUGAAAUUAAUUGAAGUUGAAAAUAUGGGUUAGGUGAUGAAAUGGAAAAAAAAAUAAGUUUGUAUAAUUUGUUAGUUGUUGUUAUGAUUUUUGGGAUAUAAAUGAAGUUUAUAUGGUGUAAGUUGGUAUUAAAAUGGGUUGUAGGAAUUAUGUAAUUUUAGUAUGAUAUUAUAAGAAUAUGGAGGUAAGUUAUUAAAAGUAUGGAUUCUUGUUGUUGAUUAUGAAGUUGAAAGAAGGAAAUGAAUUUGAUUAUGAAGUUGAAAGAAGGAAAUGAAUUUGAUUAUGAAGUUGAAAGAAGGAAAUGAAUUUGAUUAUGAAGUUGAAAGAAGAAAAUGAAUUGUAAUAGUUUUGUUGCAUUUAUGGAAUUUUUGGGUGAAAUAUGGAAUUGAUGAAUAUUGAAUAGUUUACUUGGAAUAUUUUUCACCUAUGUUGGAAUGAGUUGAAAUUAAUUAUGAACAUGAAAUAUUCAUAUUUAUUUGGAAAUGCAAAGUUUGGUUGAAAGUUGUUGCACUAAUUGGAAAAUUACAUCAAUUUAUGUUAUGGUGUGUUUAAGUUGAUUAUUGAUGGAAUUGGUGUUGAUGUUGGCUUGGUUGUUGAUAUUGUGGCCGAGUUGUAAUCUCGGGGUUGUCAUAUAUAUAGGGGAGAUGCUGCCGAAAUUUUUGUAGACAAGUAUUGGAAAAAUUGAGUUCUUAAAGUCUUAUGAAUAGUAAUUGGUAAAUGUGACCAAUUGUAGAUUUUGGAGGAAACGGAAAUUGAACUUGGACAACCGUAAAAGGCCAAAAAGGUACCGAAGUUCGAUUUGCUGAUCCACCUGUUUAGGAUAUUUGCUGCGUCGUUGACAGUGCUCCCUUGUUCGGAGCUUGUAUUUUGGUACUGACUUUAUCUCUGUAUAUUUGGAUAUGUUGGUCAGGGGUACGACGGGGCCUUGUCCCGUCAUAUGACUAUGCUAUCAUCUGUAGAGGUCUGUAGACAGAGUUAUGUUGUGGGUUUUGUAUAUAUGGUUUGGAUUUUUGUGUGUUUUGUGACAACCUUUCAACUCUCGUGCGUAUAUCUACUUUUAUGAUAUAUUUAGCAAUUUCUACUAA